GGAAGGAUGGCAGAGUGGUCGAUUGCGCUGGUCUCGAAAACCGGUAUACGGUUCCCGUAUCGGGGGUUCGAAUCCCCCUUCUUCCG
rnacentral:tRNA from 2 species